CAGUCGCCGCGGUAAUACAGAGGGUGCGAGCGUUAAUCGGAUUUACUGGGCGUAAAGCGUGCGUAGGCGGCUUUUUAAGUCGGAUGUGAAAUCCCUGAGCUUAACUUAGGAAUUGCAUUCGAUACUGGGAAGCUAGAGUAUGGGAGAGGAUGGUAGAAUUCCAGGUGUAGCGGUGAAAUGCGUAGAGAUCUGGAGGAAUACCGAUGGCGAAAGCACUCUGCUGGGCCGACACUGACACUGAGAGACGAAAGCUAGGGGAGCAAAUGGGAUUAGAUACCCGAGUAGUCCCUGUCUCUUAUAC
rnacentral:rRNA from 1 species